CUGGAGAGAGCAAUGCUUGCUCCCCAAGCCAACCCCAAACACUUAACAGUUUGCCGACCCACACCUACUUUCUCCUACAGGGCUGCAUAAGCAGUGACCGGCUACGAGGACUUUUAUUCCUGUCGCCCAGCCAGUCUUUCAGAAUUUCACCAUGGAUGAACUGGCUAAUGCAAACACACAUUUUGCCCUUGAUCUGUUCCAAAAGUUCAAUGAAUCCAACCCAACAGGCAACAUCUUCUUUUCACCCUUUAGCAUAUCUAUUACCCUAGCUAUGAUUUUCUUGGGGACCAAGGGAAAAACAGCAGCACAGCUCUCAAAGACAUUUCACUUUGAUGAUGUUGAAGACCUUCAUUCAAGAUUCCAGGCAUUCAAUACUGAGAUUAAUAGUAGUGCACCCUAUACUGUAUAUUGAAGCUCGCUAAUAAGCUGCACAGAGAAAAGACAUGCACCUUUUUGCAGGUGGCUCCAUAGAAUUCUGAUUGUCAUCUUCCUCACCUGUUUGGGAGUCAGGGAGGAAAGAGAAUCCUGUUAGGCUUUCAAGAAAGACAAGAAAGAAACUGAACACCCGUCAAUCCCAAUGUGCACCUUCUCUUAUUUUCACACCGUCUCCAUUCUCUACUGUCCUCGCUAUGUUCCAAAUUUUUAGGAAUGCGGAGGAGAUAAUGGCAAGAGUAACACAUGAUCCCUCCAUUCAUAUGUAAUAAAGGAUCUUCAUUGGAAUGGGCUCCUUAAACACAUCUCUGUAUUUUUCAUUUUCAAUUGAGGAAAUGAUCUCAGGCUCGAGUAACAGUAUCUUCUAUGAGUAAUUAGCAAAACUUAAGUGUUGUUAUGCCACAUGCAACGGUGAGAAUAUUGCAGUAUAUUAGAACAUAAGAAGAGCCUGCUGGAUCAGCAAAGGCCCACCUAAUCCAGCGUCCUGUUGUCUCAGGGGCCAACCAGAUGACUGUGGGAAACCAGCAAGCAGAUUUGAACACAAGAGCCCUCUGCCUUCCUGUGCUUUCCAGAAACUAGUACAGUGGUACCUUGGUUCUCAAACUUAAUCCAUUCCGGAAGUACGUAACAAAACCAAAGCGUGCCAAAACAAAAGUGUGCCUUCGCAUAGAAAAUAAUGCAAAAUGGAUUCAUCAAUUGCAGAUUUUUUUUAAAAAAAUCCUAAAACAGUACUUUAACAUGAAUUUUACCAUCUUGCGAGACCAUUGAUCCAUAAAAUGAAAUCAAUAAACAAUAUACUGUACUAUAAAAUAAGACAGGAUUGUAGAUGAUAAAAAUUAAAAUUACUUUUCCCCCCUUACCUGCAGUUGAUAGUCAUUGUUUGGAUGGGGGGCUUUAAUCCAUUUCCGCAGUCACACAAUCAAUCAAUCAAUCAAUCAAUCAGUGACACGGACACAAAAACAAAUGAACUGAAAAAGCCUCCAAAACAAAAAUGUAAAAUAAAUCACAAAAACAAAAGUUGCACUGCGAAAUAAAUAAGCUCCAGACCACUUAAACAGACAGCACUUUCAUGCUUGGAAAUAAUUUGCUUCUUUAUAUAUUUACAUUUUUUUUCUUACCUGCACUGAUGAUAGUCAUUGUUUGGAUGGGGGGCUUUAAUCCAUCCAUACAAUCAAUCAAUCAAUCAAUCAGUGACACGGACACAAAAACAAAUGAACUGAAAAAGCCUCCAAAACAAAAAUGUAAAAUAAAUCACAAAAACAAAAGUUGCACUGCGAAAUAAAUAAGCUCCAGACCACUUAAACAGACAGCACUUUCAUGCUUGGAAAUAAUUUGCUUCUUUAUAUAUUUACAUUUUUUUUCUUACCUGCACUGAUGAUAGUCAUUGUUUGGAUGGGGGGCUUUAAUCCAUUUCCGCAGUCACACAAUCAAUCAAUCAAUCAAUCAAUUAAUCAGUGACACAGUCACAAAAACAAAUGAACCGAAAAAGCCUCCAAAACAAAAAUGUAAAAUAAAUCACAAAAACAAAAGUUGCACUGCGAAAUAAAUAAGCUCCAGACCACUUAAACAGACAGCACUUUCAUGCUUGGAAAUAAUUUGCUUCUUUAUAUAUAGGGAAG